rnacentral:lncRNA from 1 species
GAACAGUAAGGUCCUUCAGUCUUGUGCCAACUGAACAGAGCAACUGUUCCCAAGCCGUGUCCUCUCUCCCGGCCACUCGGAGCCACGCUCCGUGCACUGAUGCUCCACAUGGAGUCCGUUCUCUUCGCAGUAUUCACGUGUGGUCCGCAGCUGGAACGCAAAGCCUUCGUUUUUAUUUGUAGCAUUUUGAGAGCAUAGGAAAGCACUAAUCUAUGUACACGAAUACACCCUGAAUUAAGAGUAAAGAAGUUAUGUGACUGCUUAGUUUAAUUUAUUCCAUGUAAUUGAUUAAUGUAUGAAUGUUGCUCCUUAAUAUUUUAUUAAUGCUUGCCCUGUGACGGUUCUGUUACAUGUUGUGGGUUCCGACUGUGUUGACAGACUCCGUCUGAGCUUUACCCGUGCACAGCUGCGCGGGCCUCGCGGAUGCACCACCAUCCAGACUGCCUCCACGGAGCCCACUGCACUUACGUGCAGCCUUCUUAGCCCUUUCAUAAGUGAGAUAAUUCAGCUUGCUUUCUAGUCUGGGAGUUAAUCGUUCCUUUACAGUAUUCCAAACAUGGCAUCACAGAAAUACCGUUAACAAGGUAAAUUGUUUGUGUAAAAUGUUUGUGAUCACAGCGGUCCUGGUGCACUCUGGGAGGCUCUCCUGCCUUACUGUCUCCUCCCGUGGGUCCUCGUGUCUGAUAGAACAUGAGGAGGAGAGGUCCCUGGGGAUCGGGUUGGUGCACAUUGGGAACCAUGCACAGUGACCACUUCAGAACAAGCCACUUCCUCUGUGAACUUCAUGCCAUGCACAGCCGGGUGAGUGCUGCUCGCCAUGACUUCCAACGUGGACUGCGUGCUUUCUCUAGACAUGGAGAGAGGAGAGAGUGCUGUGGUCCGGUAGUUUUUUUUUACCAAGGACAUAAAAUUAAAUUCAGAGUAUGUUUUUUAUUUUUAAGUUUGACUCUAUAGGAUAUUAGUCUCCAUUUAUAUUUAUAUCAUCUGUGUACAAAGCCAAAAAUGAGUCAGCCCUGUUGUCGUGAGCAGUGACGUCCACCAGGAACAUUCAGACAGGUGCUGUCAGGUGCCUCACAGCCCUCACCUUCUCCUGAGUAAAUGGGUACAACGUGACUAAGACUUUAAUCUGAGAGUUAAAGUAGCUUUUAAUCCUGAGGAGAAUGCACCCUCUGUGUUAUUUACAUGCAGUGACAUGAGCAUGGCUAGGACAGUAGUGCCAUCCCAUCACGCAGUUGAGGGUGCACACACAUCCAGCCUGAUGAAUGUUUAAUGAAGCUGAGAAUGCUGCUUUAUUUUGGUUUCCAGUGAAAGAAUUUAAGAAUGACUGUGAAGUAGUAGACACUUCUAGAGAACUGAAAUUCGUGCAAUGUUGCCUUCUUACCCAAGUGAAUCGCAGACUUCAACUGAAUGCUGACUUGCCCAGUAGGUCUUGCUCUCACCGCUUUGCAGAUGACUUGAGAAGUAAAUUCUUUCUGAAGUAACCAUCACCUGGACACAUUUGCUCCAGAUUGUAACAGUUGUUUCAUAUCUGUAUACAUUUAAAAGUAAUUAUUCAAAGUCAGAGUAAUUGGCAGCUUUGGUGACACCAGUGAGUCCACAUGCCCAGGACCUGCCUUACUCGCCGACUCUUCCUCACUGAGUCGCUGCGUUGUUCAGCUAUGUUGAAACCUUGUUCAUAAACGAAAACAUUGUACAAAUGGCUUAUCUUUGAUUUAAACCAAAUGUUAGCUGCAGGUAGGUUAAAGUCUAUGAAAACACGAAAGAUGAAGCUGGGCGUAGUGGCUCACGAUGGUGGUUCUAACACUCAGGAGGCCGAGGCAGGACUGCUAGCAUGGGGUCUGGUGUGAGACCCUGUAGAAAGAGGGAGAACUGCACACGUCCCUUGGGAUUCCUGGCAGGGCACUGUGCACAGCACACUCAGCUGUGAACGGCCAGACUUAACUAGGAACCUAAGCAGGAUGGCUCACCCCACCAGCUCCCAGCAGUACUGGCCUCCACCACUGUCACCUCUGAACUUAGCCGGCUGCCAUUCAGGCCUCCCUGCCCUCCUGACGGGCGGAUGCAGCCAUACGAGUUCACAAACACGCGAGUAGCGAGCGGUGCUGUGUCACCAGUCACAGGACCUUCGCAGGCACACCACUGUCAAGUGUUUUCUAAAUCCUUUUUUAGCUCGGGGAAAACAACUAAUUUGUGUAGGAACAUCUGAAAAUAUUUUAGUCUGCUGUCACAGUCUUUGCCUAUUGUGACUGUAAAUGAAUUGGCUUUUGAACCCUACCUCUGGCAUAUGUCAGAGGGGUGCAGCCAAUGGUAUUCAAAAACUACCAAAUAUAAGUUUGCAUAUGGAAAAAUAUACAGGUUCUAAAUAAUAAAUUAGAUCACAAGUUUUUGUGGCUUUUUAAUUAGUACUGCAGGUUAUAUUAUGUGGUUUUUCUACAGGUAUUAACUAUAUUACAAGUUUUUUUCUUACCAAUGAAUAAUUUGAAUAUCAUUGGUCUCUUUGACCUAUAGAGCAUCCUCUUUCUCAGAGAAUCACCCACAGUGGGUUACCUCAGUUUUGUUGUGUGUCUUUUCAUUUCCUUUCUAUUGUGGCUGUGAGUGUUCCUCCAGUGAACAGGGACGUUUUGUAUGUGAGGCUUCAGUUGACAGGGGUUGCCCUCUGACCAUGCAGGUUGAUGGACAGCCAUCAGGGAGCAGUUGACAGGAGUUGCCCUCUGACCGUGCAGGUUGAUGGACAGCCAUCAGGGAGCAGUCAGAGCUCCAUCCAGCAGUCUGCACAGUGAAGCUGCAGCUCGCGGUACUCCACAUGGAGUGUAGCAGCACAGACUGACAGCUGAGACGGUGCAGUCCUGUGGUGACCACAGAGGCCUUCAGAGACAAGAACUCUUCACUUAGAGUGACAUAUAGGAACACCUUUCCAAGUUAGGACCUUGAUAGAUUGAGGAAACAAUGUGGAAAAGACAAAGACCUGAUUUCAGGCAGGCACAGAGAGACAGGCAGUUAGCAUUGGAUGUUGCCUUUGACGGGUUAGGCCUUAAUGUAUAUUAAAAGAUGCUCUGUGUGCUUCCCCAGCACACGCCUGUCUUGAUCGGUAGAUACUGUGGUGAGGCCAGCUCGGAAGUAUUCCUUCUGUGUCGUGCCAGUGUUUUUAAGUUGUAUGUUCGUACUGUCCGCUGUGGUGUUUUAAGUCCCGGGAGAAGGCUGCCGGCUGUGUCGAGUCACGGCCAUCAGUAUUCACUCAGUAUUGCUGCUCCACAUUUUCCCAGUGCGCCUUCCAUGCCAGGACAUGGCUGCGUCAGUCGCGGGAGCGCCUUCCCAUUCAUUUUAUAUAUUUUUAGAAACCAAAUGAUGGCAAUGGCUAUGUAGUGUAUUGUUAAACCAGCAGAACUCUAAAGGCAAUAAACACAUGCAUAUAUAUAUAUAGGGGAGGGGAAGGAGUGGAAAUACAGGUUUACAGCCAGAUACGGUGAUAGCCCUUCAGUGUAUUUCUCUGUCUUCACUGACCUAGAAGGAUUUGAGUUGCUGCAGCUCUAGACAAAAUGUCCACGUUUGCUGAUUGUGGGCCAUAAAUAUGCUUUUAGCACUGCUUUGCUGAUGUAUAAAUAAGAAAUCUGUAAUAUGUACCAUAUGUAAUUAUUUUCUUUUGACUUUAUUUCAAAAUGUAUAUUUUCUGAUUAUUAUCAUGAGCUAUAAAGCAAAAAGAUCAAUAUCUGAUAUUCUCCCAAAUAAUAAAUUUUCAAGAUUCAUUGGGGC